rnacentral:rRNA from 1 species
UACAUGGGGUGCAACCGUUGCUCGGAAUUAUUGGGCGUAAAGCGCGCGUAGGCGGUUAUCUAAGUCGGAUGUGAAAGCCCUUGGCUUAACUGAGGAAGUGCACCCGAAACUGGAUAGCUAGAGUACGAAAGAGGGUCGCGGAAUUCCCGGUGUAGAGGUGAAAUUCGUAGAUAUCGGGAGGAACACCGGUGGCGAAGGCGGCGACCUGGGUCGAGACUGACGCUGAGGCGCGAAAGCGUGGGGAGCAAACAGG